rnacentral:piRNA from 1 species
UGGGGUUUUUCACACUUCGAAGAAGAUGC